UACGUAGGGGGGCAAGCGUUGUCCGGAUUUAUUGGGCGUAAAGAGCGUGUAGGCGGCCGUACAGGUCAGCUGUGAAAACUCGAGGCUCAACCUCGAGAGGUCGGUGGAAACCAUCUAGCUAGAGUCCGGAAGAGGAGAGUGGAAUUCCCGGUGUAGCGGUGAAAUGCGCAGAUAUCGGGAAGAACACCCGUGGCGAAGGCGGCUCUCUGGGACGGUACUGACGCUGAGACGCGAAAGCGUGGGGAGCGAACAGG
rnacentral:rRNA from 1 species